rnacentral:rRNA from 1 species
AUGACUGGACGAAACCAAGAAAUAACCCCUUAUGUGCGAAAUUAUAGAAGAAGAUCAAACAAUUCCAUCGAAUUGAGUAUGACUGUAUGUGUGAUAGCAUCUACUAUACCAGGAAUAUUAAUGAACCCCAUUCUUGCAAUUGCUCAGGAUACCCUCUUUUAG